AUUGAACGCUGGCGGCAGGCCUCACACAUGCAAGUCGAACGAGUGGCGGACAGGUGAGUAAUGUCUGGGAAACUGCCUGAUGGAGGGGGAUAACUACUGGAAACGGUAGAUCAUACCGCCUACCAUCGGAUGUGCCCAGAUGGGAUUAGCUAGUCGGUAGGGUAAAGGCUAACCUAGGCGACGAGCCCUAGCUGGUCUGAGAGGAGGACCAGCCACACUGGAACUGAGACACGGUCCAGACUCCUACGGGAGGCAGCAGUGGGGAAUAUUGCACAAUGGGAGCAAGCCUGAUGCAGCCAUGCCGCGUGUAUGAAGAAGGCCUUCGGGUUGUAAAGUACUUUCAGCGGGGAGGCGUUACCCGCAGAAGAAGCAACGGCUAACUCCGUGCCAGCAGCCGCGGUAAUUC
rnacentral:rRNA from 1 species